GGUUAAGCGACUAAGCGUACACGGUGGAUGCCCCGGCAGUCAGAGGCGAUGAAGGACGUGCUAAUCUGCGAUAAGCGUCGGUAAGGUGAUAUGAACCGUUAUAACCGGCGAUUUCCGAAUGGGGAAACCCAGUGUGUUUCGACACACUAUCAUUAACUGAAUCCAUAGGUUAAUGAGGCGAACCGGGGGAACUGAAACAUCUAAGUACCCCGAGGAAAAGAAAUCAACCGAGAUUCCCCCAGUAGCGGCGAGCGAACGGGGAGCAGCCCAGAGCCUGAAUCAGUAUGUGUGUUAGUGGAAGCGUCUGGAAAGGCGCGCGAUACAGGGUGACAGCCCCGUACACAAAAAUGCACAUGCUGUGAGCUCGAUGAGUAGGGCGGGACACGUGGUAUCCUGUCUGAAUAUGGGGGACCAUCCUCCAAGGCUAAAUACUCCUGACUGACCGAUAGUGAACCAGUACCGUGAGGGAAAGGCGAAAAGAACCCCGGCGAGGGGAGUGAAAAAGAACCUGAAACCGUGUACGUACAAGCAGUGGGAGCACGCUUAGGCGUGUGACUGCGUACCUUUUGUAUAAUGGGUCAGCGACUUAUAUUCUGUAGCAAGGUUAACCGAAUAGGGGAGCCGAAGGGAAACCGAGUCUUAACUGGGCGUUAAGUUGCAGGGUAUAGACCCGAAACCCGGUGAUCUAGCCAUGGGCAGGUUGAAGGUUGGGUAACACUAACUGGAGGACCGAACCGACUAAUGUUGAAAAAUUAGCGGAUGACUUGUGGCUGGGGGUGAAAGGCCAAUCAAACCGGGAGAUAGCUGGUUCUCCCCGAAAGCUAUUUAGGUAGCGCCUCGUGAAUUCAUCUCCGGGGGUAGAGCACUGUUUCGGCAAGGGGGUCAUCCCGACUUACCAACCCGAUGCAAACUGCGAAUACCGGAGAAUGUUAUCACGGGAGACACACGGCGGGUGCUAACGUCCGUCGUGAAGAGGGAAACAACCCAGACCGCCAGCUAAGGUCCCAAAGUCAUGGUUAAGUGGGAAACGAUGUGGGAAGGCCCAGACAGCCGGGAUGUUGGCUUAGAAGCAGCCAUCAUUUAAAGAAAGCGUAAUAGCUCACUGGUCGAGUCGGCCUGCGCGGAAGAUGUAACGGGGCUAAACCAUGCACCGAAGCUGCGGCAGCGACGCUGAUGCGUUGUUGGGUAGGGGAGCGUUCUGUAAGCCUGCGAAGGUGUGCUGUGAGGCAUGCUGGAGGUAUCAGAAGUGCGAAUGCUGACAUAAGUAACGAUAAAGCGGGUGAAAAGCCCGCUCGCCGGAAGACCAAGGGUUCCUGUCCAACGUUAAUCGGGGCAGGGUGAGUCGACCCCUAAGGCGAGGCCGAAAGGCGUAGUCGAUGGGAAACAGGUUAAUAUUCCUGUACUUGGUGUUACUGCGAAGGGGGACGGAGAAGGCUAUGUUGGCCGGGCGACGGUUGUCCCGGUUUAAGCGUGUAGGCUGGUUUUCCGGGCAAAUCCGGAAAAUCAAGGCUGAGGCGUGAUGACGAGGCACUACGGUGCUGAAGCAACAAAUGCCCUGCUUCCGGGAAAAGCCUCUAAGCAUCAGGUAACAUCAAAUCGUACCCCAAACCGACACAGGUGGUCAGGUAGAGAAUACCAAGGCGCUUGAGAGAACUCGGGUGAAGGAACUAGGCAAAAUGGUGCCGUAACUUCGGGAGAAGGCACGCUGAUAUGUAGGUGAAGUCCCUCGCGGAUGGAGCUGAAAUCAGUCGAAGAUACCAGCUGGCUGCAACUGUUUAUUAAAAACACAGCACUGUGCAAACACGAAAGUGGACGUAUACGGUGUGACGCCUGCCCGGUGCCGGAAGGUUAAUUGAUGGGGUUAGCCGCAAGGCGAAGCUCUUGAUCGAAGCCCCGGUAAACGGCGGCCGUAACUAUAACGGUCCUAAGGUAGCGAAAUUCCUUGUCGGGUAAGUUCCGACCUGCACGAAUGGCGUAAUGAUGGCGGGCUGUCUCCACCCGAGACUCAGUGAAAUUGAACUCGCUGUGAAGAUGCAGUGUACCCGCGGCAAGACGGAAAGACCCCGUGAACCUUUACUAUAGCUUGACACUGAACAUUGAGCCUUGAUGUGUAGGAUAGGUGGGAGGCUUUGAAGUGUGGACGCCAGUCUGCAUGGAGCCGACCUUGAAAUACCACCCUUUAAUGUUUGAUGUUCUAACGUUGACCCGUGAUCCGGGUUGCGGACAGUGUCUGGUGGGUAGUUUGACUGGGGCGGUCUCCUCCUAAAGAGUAACGGAGGAGCACGAAGGUUGGCUAAUCUCGGUCGGACAUCAGGAGGUUAGUGCAAUGGCAUAAGCCAGCUUGACUGCGAGCGUGACGGCGCGAGCAGGUGCGAAAGCAGGUCAUAGUGAUCCGGUGGUUCUGAAUGGAAGGGCCAUCGCUCAACGGAUAAAAGGUACUCCGGGGAUAACAGGCUGAUACCGCCCAAGAGUUCAUAUCGACGGCGGUGUUUGGCACCUCGAUGUCGGCUCAUCACAUCCCGGGGCUGAAGUAGGUCCCAAGGGUAUGGCUGUUCGCCAUUUAAAGUGGUACGCGAGCUGGGUUUAGAACGUCGUGAGACAGUUCGGUCCCUAUCUGCCGUGGGCGCUGGAGAACUGAGGGGGCUGCUCCUAGUACGAGAGGACCGGAGUGGACGCAUCACUGGUGUUCGGGUUGUCAUGCCAAUGGCACUGCCCGGUAGCUAAAUGCGGAAGAGAUAAGUGCUGAAAGCAUCUAAGCACGAAACUUGCCCCGAGAUGAGUUCUCCCUGACCCUUUAAGGGUCCUGAAGGAACGUUGAAGACGACGACGUUGAUAGGCCGGGUGUGUAAGCGCAGCGAUGCGUUGAGCUAACCGGUACUAAUGAACCGUGAGGCUUAACCUU
rnacentral:rRNA from 1 species